CAGCCGCCGCGGGAAUACGAAGGGUGCAAGCGUUACUCGGAAUUACUGGGCGUAAAGCGUGCGUAGGUGGUGGUUUAAGUCCGUUGUGAAAGCCCUGGGCUCAACCUGAGAAUUGCAGUGGAUACUGGGUCACAAGAGUGUGGUAGAGGAUAGUGGAAUUUCCGGUGUAGCAGUGAAAUGCGUAGAGAUCCGAAGGAACAUCUGUGGCGAAGGCGACUAUCUGGGCCAACACUGACACUGAGGCACGAAAGCGUGGGGAGCAAACAGGAUUAGAUACCCGGGUAGUCCCUGUCUCUUAUAC
rnacentral:rRNA from 1 species